GUGUGGAGAUAGGUAUGCCUAUGCUUAAGCCAGUUAUUGUUUUUGAAGUCAGGACCCUAAGAGAUUCCAUAGGGUGCAGUUGGAGCUGAGUUUGUAAUAGUUUCUGGUGAUUAAUGGUAGAUUUGGCAUUGUUGGAGCUACCGAGGUAUUGUGGGAGGUCGAAAGAGCUUGGGAAGUCUUAAAAAUCAAGGGUUUUUGCGAGUGUUUUGAAAAGAAAAAAGAGAUAAUUGGUACGGACCCCUUCUAUCGGACCUUCAUGUGGAUGAUUUUGUCCAGGAGCGGCUUCAACUUAAAAAUGCGAAAUUAUACAACCUGGCAGAAAUAAAUCCUUUGCUAUGAAGCAACUUGGGGAAGAGUCACUUCCUCCCAUUUAUUUGAUAUUUGAUUGUGUAAGAUUUCGAUUUACCAUUCCUUUGGUCAUCGAUUAAGGUCUCUAAUGGCGGUUUUUUGUGGGUUAGUUGAUUUCGUAGUGAAAAUCAUUUGGAAUGCCUAUUUGAAGUAUAUGAAUAUGUCACAGCUCAAGUAAACAUAGCAAUUGAGGACGUUGACUACUCCGGUUCAACUGAUCAAGCGUUUAAAGUCUAUAAAGAAUCAUGUUUUUAUAGCUUCUGAGUACCCUGUUGUGAUUACUCUUAAAGACCACCUUACUACUGAUCUUCAGUCUAAAGCG